GAGAGGCAAAACUUGUUGUUUUCAACAACGUUUUAGAGAAUAUUGGUAUUCGUUAAAAGUCCCCACUCGGUGCCAUCUCGUUUACCAGUUCCCUAAUCAAUUUUUUGGAGUUUUAUCAAAGACAUUGUUCCAUAUUCAACCAGUAAUUAUCAAGAAGGAAAAUAAAUAAGGAAAUGUAUACAAAUGUCAUGCUUGCGGUCGCACAUAUAAACAUAGAAGAGGCUUAUUACAGCAUGUCCGUUAUGAGUGUCAGAAGGAACCAUCGUUUUUUUGUGAUAUUUGUCCCUUUAAAUCAAAAUCAAAAAGCAGUUUAACAAGGCAUAUGGGCUAUAAACAUUAUACUAAAUAAAUUGUUCCAUACA